AUGGACAAUACAAAUGCUUUCACCUUACAAUAUGGUGAAAUUUUUUCUUGGUUUGAUUGUCAUCAUCGAUUUUUACCAAUAGAUCAUCCGCUUAGAAGAAGUAAAAAGAGAUUUACAAAAAACAAGAUUCAGAAAAAAAGAUCACCUUACAUGUUUACCGGCCAUGAUGUCUGGGAAGCUGUUUGUGAUUUUCCAAAAGUCACUCAUAUUGCCUGGGCCACCAAAUUUCCAGGAUAUGGAAAAUAA